UAUACAUGAACAUUUUUUAAUAUUUUAAAUAUUAUUCUAAUACUAACUAAUUCUAAUAACAACUUUAAUUUAUAAAAAAUUAAAAUUUUCAAUAGGAACAGAUAUUAUAUAUCAGAUAUGGAUAUGGAAAAGAUAUACUAAGGAAUCGUUUGGUUGCAUGUGGCUGUUGUUGCAACUGCAUUCAAAUACAAAUUCGGUGUUUAAUUUUAUAUAUUUCACUCGAACUGUUGCAGUAAGAAUUGCAGGAAGAGACCCAACUGCAGCAAUUAAAACUACGCUCAAAUUAACUCCCAAAAUUUAUUAUUAAAACAUCUAACAAUCUUAAAAAUCAGAAAGCAAAAUACAAAUUUUAUUUUAUAUAUAUAUAUUUAAAAUUAUUAAAUAAAAUAAAUAAAUUAGAUUUUGAUUUUAGAGGUAAGGUA
rnacentral:lncRNA from 1 species